UCGGGGCCGCCCAGCGGUGUGGGCGGCCGGCGGGAACCUCGGGUGAGCGGUGGGCGGGUCUCAGGACUCGCUCCGGAAGUGCGGUCCCGGGCGGCGCCGAGUGCUGGGCGCGCUGCACAGCAAAGGCAAACAAAAACUGGACUUACCCACUGAGUGCAAAACACACAACAAAGACUGAAGGCACUUCAAACACUGGUGACCCAAGGAUCAGGCAUAAAAAUUCAGAUGCAUCCUCAUGAAAAUUAUGGCAACAGCAAGUAAGAAGAUAAUGAUCCUGAGAAUCAACAUCCAAGACCAGUGGUCAGUCCAGCAGGAAAGAGAUAAAGGUGGCAUGGGACAAGUGCCACCCUCGCCUCUGGGGACCAUCACCCAGACACCAAGCAGAGGCCUCCUGUGAGUGCAGGGUCACGGCCCCUUCCCUUCAUCUUCAGAGACAGCGUUGCGGCGUCUUCAGAUCUCUCCUCUGAACUCUGCUCUCUUCUCUUCGUGGCUGAGCCUCUGCCUCCGGCUGAUGUUGCCUUGUCUCUAUCACAUCACAGCCUUCUCCACACGAUUCCUGCUCCUUCCUCAUAUAAGGACUCUUGUGAAUACUGGGGGCCUCCCCAGAUCAUCCAGGAAAAUCCCUUUGUCUCAAAAUUAUUAAUUUAAUCAUAUUUGCAAAGUUCCUUUUACCACAUAAAGUGUUAACGUCACAGGUUUUGGAGACUAAGAUGUGGACACAUUUGGGGGCCGUUAUCAGGCUUACCACACCCUUCAACCUAAUUAAGGGUAAAAUCUGCAGGGAAAUUGCACUGUGGCUCUUCCAUGUCAUCACUGCUCCCUCUGUACUGGAGACUUUUUGUGACAUCCAGUGUCUUCUAAAGGCGUGAACAGGAAACCCCAGUGCAGACUCAUGAAGCUUUGAUGGACUCAGGGUAGUGACCGGACAACACUUUCAGGCAGUGGUGCAGAGGAGAACAGUAGAAACCUUGGAGGAGAGGAGGAUGGGAAAAGGAGGAGGGCACCUGACUUUGUUUUUUUGUUUGUUUGUUUGUUUGUUUUUUGGUCCAGAUGUCCACAGAGUGAACUUAACAUUUUAUUACAACUUUGGUGGAAGAGCAGGAGAUCAUCUAUUUCAAAUUUCUGUUUGAGCACUAACUGUGUAAUUUUUUCAAGGUUCUUUUGACGGCCAACUGUCUACACAAUAACCAUGUUCUACUUCUUUAAUAACACCUGAUUUCCUGUGGGGCAGUUAUGUUCUCAAAGUUCCUAGCAUCUCCUGUAUGGCCUUGUAACUUAAUAUUGGUGGUUGUGUAUGGGUUGCUUUCAGAGUGGCUAAAUAAAAGGAGUUGAUUCAGUUUGAAAAUUAA